GACGAACGCUGGCGGCGUGCUUAACACAUGCAAGUCGAACGGAAAGGCCCUGCUUUUGUUGGGUGCUCGAGUGGCGAACGGGUGAGUAACACGUGAGUAACCUGCCCUUGACUUUGGGAUAACUUUAGGAAACUGGGGCUAUUACCGGAUAGGAGCUCCUGCUGCAUGGGGGGGGUUGGAAAGUUUCGGCGGUUGUGGAUGGACUCGCGGCUUAUCCGCUUGUUGGUGGGGUAGUGGCUUACCAAGGUUGUGACGGGUAGCCGGCCUGGGAGGGUGAACGGCGACAUUGGGACUGAGAUACGGCGCAGACGCCUACGGGAGGCAGCAGUGGGGAGUAUUGCACAAUGGGCGGAAGCCUGAGGCAGCAACGCCGCGUGCGGGAUGACGGCCUUCGGGGUGUAAACAGCUUUCGCCUGUGACGAAGCGUGAGUGACGGUAAUGGGUAAAGAAGCACCGGCUAACUACGUG
rnacentral:rRNA from 1 species